GACGAAGGGGGCUAGCGUUGUUCGGAAUUACUGGGCGUAAAGGGCGCGUAGGCGGUUUAUCAAGUGAGAUGUGAAAUCCCCGGGCUUAACCUGGGAACUGCAUCUUAAACUGAUAGGCUGGAGUACUGUAGAGGAUAGUGGAAUUUCCGGUGUAGCGGUGAAAUGCGUAGAGAUCGGAAGGAACAUCAGUGGCGAAGGCGACUGUCUGGACAGAUACUGACGCUGAGGCGCGAAAGCGUGGGGAGCAAACAGG
rnacentral:rRNA from 1 species